CAGUCAAGGGUGGGGCCUGCAGAUCAUCCCCCUUAUCUAUGCCAGAGUUUUAGAUGGCUUGAUCUUGUGCAUGCAACCAUGACUGCUGCCAGUUCCUGAGUGUGACAGACUGUCAUGUCCAGAAGACAGCACCUCAUAACACUCCUCCCUAUCUAUCAGCUCUUUCAUUCUUUCUGCCUCUACUUCCAGGCUUUUCUCUGCACCUUGGUGGUGGCUCUGUUUAGAUGUUGUGUUUAAGGCUGAGUACCCAGUCUUUCAUUCUCAGCACCUGAUGAGUUAUGCAUCUCUGCAAUGACUGCCAUCCACCACAAAAAGAUAUUUCUCUGAUCAAGGUUGAGAGAAGCCCAGGUCUAUGGGCAGAAACACAAAUAUUUGGAAGGCGAUUUGCCACAGACCUUCGUGCAUGGAUUUAUGAGCUAAACAAAACCAGAAAAAUGGACCUCCAAAGACAUUGCAUCUGUCUUGACCUCAAAGUUCUCAACUUUUAGAACUGUGAGUAAAGAAAUGUUUCCUGUUUCAGCCUUUCAGCUGUAACACUGGCUGGAGCCAAUGAAGACACAGCCACUAGAGUUUUGUAAUGCUCAACUGGGUAGAGCAGUUGACAGGAUGAAGUUGCUUUAUUGCUAUCCAUGAUUGCAUGGAUGACAAUACACUGUUGUGGUAACUUCAGAUAAUAAAUAUUGUACAGAAAGUCAGAAAGGAGCCAAACAUUCUGUGUGUUCUGGAGUCAGAAGUAAUCAUGUGACCAACUCUGGCCAAUGGAACAAGAGGACAUAGAGUUUGCCUGCUUCUCAGUUGAGAUGCAAAUAGUGACUAUUACCGAGAUCCACAAGUGGUCAAAAUGCAAAGUAAGGAAGGAAUUUCACUAGAAUAAAAUCUCUGGACUUUCCUCUAUUCCUUUUAUCUGUCCUCAUCUUCACUUCUGCACAUCAGGACUGGCCCUUUUCACUGUUUUCACGACUCUGGUAAGGCAUUGCAAUCCCAGUGUCCCUGUGCUUACCCCAGGAAAGCAGAAGGUAAUUUUAUUUCUGGGACUGCUGGGAGGGCUUGGAUGUAUUUUUCAUCACUAAAGAAUGAAAAGGAGGUAAUUUUCAUUUUAUUUGUUUUCUUCCUAAUUUUUUAUGGGCUCAAAGAAGAGAGUGUUGAAUGCUACAUCUGCUUUGGGAUUUAAAAAGAUGACUGCAUUGUUUUCUGUAA